AUGCCGCGUGAGCGAGAGGUCUUCGGAUCGUAAAGUUCUGUUAUUAAGAAGAACAAGUCUAGGAGUAACUGUCUUGAGUUUGACGGUACCUAACCAGAAAGUCACGGCUAACUACGUGCCAGCAGCCGCGGUAAUACGUAGGUGACAAGCGUUGUCCGGAAUUAUUGGGCGUAAAGGGAGCGCAGGCGGUUGGAAUAGUCUGAUGUGAAAGCCCCCGGCUUAACCGUGGAAGGUCAUUGGAAACUGUCCCACUUGAAUGCAGAAGAGGUAAGUGGAAUUCCAUGUGUAGCGGUGAAAUGCGUAGAUAUAUGGAGGAACACCAGUGGCGAAGGCGACUUACUGGUCUGUGAUUGACGCUGAUGCUCGAAAGCGUGGGUAGCGAACAGGAUUAGAUACCCUGGUAGUCCACGCCGUAAACGAUGAGUGCUAAGUGUUGGAGGGUUUCCGCCCUUCAGUGCUGGAGUUAACGCAUUAAGCACUCCGCCUGGGGAGUACGACCG
rnacentral:rRNA from 1 species